rnacentral:piRNA from 1 species
UGCAUAUCGGCUUUCACCACACGUA